UACGAAGGGGGCUAGCGUUGUUCGGAAUCACUGGGCGUAAAGGGCGCGUAGGCGGCUUGAUAAGUCGGGGUGAAAGCCUGUGGCUCAACCACAGAAUUGCCUUCGAUACUGUCGAGCUUGAGACCGGAAGAGGUAAGUGGAACUGCGAGUGUAGAGGUGAAAUUCGUAGAUAUUCGCAAGAACACCAGUGGCGAAGGCGGCUUACUGGUCCGGUUCUGACGCUGAGGCGCGAAAGCGUGGGGAGCAAACAGGG
rnacentral:rRNA from 1 species